GAUGAACGCUGGCGGCGUGCCUAAUACAUGCAAGUCGAACGGUGAAGGCGUAGCUUGCUCUGCUGGAUGAGUGGCGAACGGGUGAGUAACACGUAAGCAACCUGCCCCUGAAGCCGGGAAAAGUCUUGGAAACGGCGGAUAAAACUGGAUACGAGCUGCGAAGGCAUCUUCAGCAGCUGGAAAGAAUGACGGUCAGGGAUGAGCUCGUGGUCUAGCAGCUUGUUGUUGAGGUAAUGGCUCACCAAGGCGUCGACGGGGAGCCGGCCUGAGAGGGUGACCGGGACAACGGGGACUGAGACACGGCACGGACUCGUAGGGGAGGCAGCGGUGGGGAGGAAUGCCCAAUGGGGGAAAGCCUGAUGCAGCAACGCCGCGUUAGGGACGACGGGCUUCGGGGUGUAGAACUAUUUUUGCAGAGAAGAAGCGAAAGUGACGGUACCUUCAGAGAAAGCGACGGCUAACUACGUG
rnacentral:rRNA from 1 species